AGCCCCGUCAUCUAGUGGCCAAGGAUGUCAGGCUUUGGACCUGAACACGGCAGUUCGAAUCUGCCCGGGGCUA
rnacentral:tRNA from 1 species